CCUACGGGUGGCAGCAGUGAGGAAUAUUGGUCAAUGGGCGCGAGCCUGAACCAGCCAAGUAGCGUGAAGGAUGACUGCCCUACGGGUUGUAAACUUCUUUUAUAAAGGAAUAAAGUGAGGCACGUGUGCCUUUCUGUAUGUACUUUAUGAAUAAGGAUCGGCUAACUCCGUGCCAGCAGCCGCGGUAAUACGGAGGAUACGAGCGUUAUCCGGAUUUAUUGGGUUUAAAGGGAGCGUAGAUGGGUUGUUAAGUCAGUUGUGAAAGUUUGCGGCUCAACCGUAAAAUUGCAAUUGAUACUGGCAGUCUUGAGUACAGUAGAGGUAGGCGGAAUUCGUGGUGUAGCGGUGAAAUGCUUAGAGAUCACGAAGAACACCGAUUGCGAAGGCAGCUUACUAAACUACCACUGACGUUGAUGCGCGAAAGUGUGGGGAGCAAACAGGAUUAGAUACCCGUGUAGUC
rnacentral:rRNA from 1 species